rnacentral:rRNA from 1 species
ACUCCUACGGGAGGCAGCAGUGGGGAAUAUUGCACAAUGGGGGAAACCCUGAUGCAGCCAUGCCGCGUGUGUGAAGAAGGCCUUCGGGUUGUAAAGCACUUUCAGUAGGGAGGAAGGUAGUGUAGUUAACACCUGCACUAUUUGACGUUACCUACAGAAGAAGCACCGGCUAACUCCGUGCCAGCAGCCGCGGUAAUACGGAGGGUGCGAGCGUUAAUCGGAAUUACUGGGCGUAAAGCGCAUGCAGGCGGCCUGUUAAGUCAGAUGUGAAAGCCCGGGGGCUUAACCUCGGAAUUGCAUUUGAAACUGGCAGGCUAGAGUCUUGUAGAGGGGGGUAGAAUUUCAGGUGUAGCGGUGAAAUGCGUAGAGAUCUGAAGGAAUACCAGUGGCGAAGGCGGCCCCCUGGACAAAGACUGACGCUCAGAUGCGAAAGCGUGGGGAAGCAAACAGGAUUAGAUACCCUGGUAGCACAGAG